rnacentral:rRNA from 1 species
GAUGAACGCUGGCGGCGUGCCUAAUACAUGCAAGUCGAGCGAACGGACGAGAAGCCUGCUUUUUUGAUGUUAGAGGCGGACGGGAGAGUAACAUGUGGAUCACCUACCUAUAAGAUUGGGACAAGUUCGGGAAACUGGUGCUAAUACUGGAUACUAUUUUGAACCGCAUGGUUCAACAGUGAAAGACGGUCUUGCUGUCACUUAUAGAUGGAUCCGCGCUGCAUUAGCUAGUUGGUAAGGUAACGGCUUACCAAGGUAACGUUGCAUAGCCGACCUGAAGGGGUGAUCGGCCACACUGGAACUGAGACACGGUCCAGACUCCUACGGGAGGCAGCAGUAGGGAAUCUUCCGCGAUGGGCGAAAGCCUGACGUAGCAACGCCGCGUGAGUGAUGAAGGUCUUCGGAUCGUAAAACGCUGUUAUUAGUGGAGAUCAUAUGUGUAAGUGACUGUGCACAUCUUGACGGUACCUAAUCAGAAAGCCACGGCUAACUACGUG